rnacentral:rRNA from 1 species
AGUGAACGCUGGCGGUAGGCCUAACACAUGCAAGUCGAACGGCAGCACAGUAAGAGCUUGCUCUUACGGGUGGCGAGUGGCGGACGGGUGAGGAAUACAUCGGAAUCUACUUUUUCGUGGGGGAUAACGUAGGGAAACUUACGCUAAUACCGCAUACGACCUACGGGUGAUAGCAGGGGAUCUUCGGACCUUGCGUGAUUGAAUGAGCCGAUGUCGGAUUAGCUAGUUGGCGGGGUAAAGGCCCACCAAGGCGACGAUCCGUAGCUGGUCUGAGAGGAUGAUCAGCCACACUGGAACUGAGACACGGUCCAGACUCCUACGGGAGGCAGCAGUGGGGAAUAUUGGACAAUGGGCGCAAGCCUGAUCCAGCCAUACCGCGUGGGUGAAGAAGGCCUUCGGGUUGUAAAGCCCUUUUGUUGGGAAAGAAAAGCAGCAGGUUAAUACCCCGCUGUUCUGACGGUACCCAAAGAAUAAGCACCGGCUAACUUCGUG